GUCCAGCGUGAGCCCACCCUCCCAGCUUGCCCGGAUCCCACAAAACCCACCAGCUUCAGACCAUCCAGGAACUUCUCCGAGGCUCCCCAUGCUUGCUGACCACCCCCUGUGCCUGGGCAGACACUGGUGAGCCCAGGGAGUGGUGGACCUGCCUUGCUCUACUGCAUCUGGGACCCCAGCUUCCAAAAUGUCGCCCAAGGAUGACUCCACAGUGACAGCCGUAGCUGCAGCCCCAGACUCACCCAGGCAACUGCCAACUGGAUCCCUCUUCUCCCACCGGCAGGCGACAGCACGUUGGCCACCAGGAUGCCCAGGGGGUUUGCUGCAUGGAUGAACGGGGACACGUCAGCCCCGCCAUGGCCAUGUCUGGGCCCCCGCCACAGGCGGAGCCCUCCGCCCUCCAACAGUGC